rnacentral:tRNA from 1 species
GGGGAUUUAGCUCAGCGGUAGAGCGCUUGCCUAGCAAGCGCAAGGCCCUGGGUUCGGCCCCCAGCUCCG